rnacentral:rRNA from 1 species
AUUGAACGCUGGCGGCAGGCCUAACACAUGCAAGUCGAGCGAGCGGCGGACGGGUGAGUAAUGUCUGGGAAACUGCCUGAUGGAGGGGGAUAACUACUGGAAACGGUAGCUAAUACCGCAUACCAUCAGAUGUGCCCAGAUGGGAUUAGCUAGUAGGUGGGGUAACGGCUCACCUAGGCGACGAUCCCUAGCUGGUCUGAGAGGAUGACCAGCAACACUGGAACUGAGACACGGGCCAGACUCCUACGGGAGGAAGCAUGGGGGAAUAUUGCACAAGGGGCGAAAGCCGAAUGCAGCCAUGCCGGGGGUGUGAAGAGGGCCUUCGGGUUGUAAAGCACUUUCAGCGGGGAGGUGUUACCCGCAGAAGAAGCACCGGCUAACUCCGUGCCAGCCGCCGCGGUAAUAC